rnacentral:rRNA from 1 species
AACGAACGCUGGCGGCAUGCCUUACACAUGCAAGUCGAACGGCAGCACGGGAGCAAUCCUGGUGGCGAGUGGCGAACGGGUGAGUAAUAUAUCGGAACGUGCCCAGUCGUGGGGGAUAACGUAGCGAAAGCUACGCUAAUACCGCAUACGAUCUAUGGAUGAAAGCGGGGGAUCGCAAGACCUCGCGCGAUUGGAGCGGCCGAUAUCAGAUUAGGUAGUUGGUGGGGUAAAAGCCUACCAAGCCUUCGAUCUGUAGCUGGUCUGAGAGGACGACCAGCCACACUGGAACUGAGACACGGUCCAGACUCCUACGGGAGGCAGCAGUGGGGAAUUUUGGACAAUGGGCGCAAGCCUGAUCCAGCAAUGCCGCGUGCAGGAUGAAGGCCUUCGGGUUGUAACU